rnacentral:rRNA from 1 species
GACGAACGCUGGCGGCGUGCUUAACACAUGCAAGUCGUACGGUAAGGCCCUUUCGUUGGUACACGAAUGGCGGACGGGGGAGUAACACGUACGUAACGUUCCCACAACUUUGGGAUAACGCUAGGAAACUGAAGCUAAUACUGAUUAUGUGCUCCUUCUUCAUGGGGGGGGUUGGAAAGCUCCGGCGGGUGUGGCUGGACUCGCGGCCUAUCGGCUUGUUGGUGGGGUAGUGUCCUACCAAGGCGGCGAGGGGUAGCCGGACUGAGGGGGUGACCUGCCACACUGGGACCUAGAGACGGCCCAGACUCCGACGGGAGGGAGAAGUGCGGAAUAUUGAACAAUGGGCGCCAGCCUGGUGCAGAAACGCCGCGUGCCGGAAGACGGUGUUCUGGUCGUAAAACGCUUUCAGAAGGGACGAAGCUUUUUGUGACGGUACCUGCAGAAGAAGCACCGGCUAACUACGUG